rnacentral:rRNA from 1 species
UACGGGGGAGCAAGCGUUGUUCGGAUUUACUGGGCGUAAAGGGCGCGUAGGCGGCCACCGCAAGUCGACUGUGAAAUCUCCGGGCUUAACCCGGAAAGGUCAGCCGAUACUGCGGGCUAGAGUGCAGAAGGGGCAACUGGAAUUCUCGGUGUAGCGGUGAAAUGCGUAGAUAUCGAGAGGAACACCUGCGGCGAAGGCGGGUUGCUGGGCUGACACUGACGCUGAGGCGCGAAAGCUAGGGAGCGAACGGG